GACGAACGCUGGCGGCGUGCCUAAUACAUGCAAGUCGAGCGGAGUUGUUCGAGGUGCUUGCACCUUGAAUAACUUAGCGGCGGACGGGUGAGUAACACGUGGGUAACCUGCCUAUAAGCCCGGGAUAACAUUCGGAAACGGAUGCUAAUACCGGAUACGCAAUUCGGUCGCAUGACAGAAUUGGGAAAGACGGAGCAAUCUGUCCCUUAUAGAUGGACCUGCGGCGCAUUAGCUAGUUGGUAAGGUAACGGCUUACCAAGGCGACGAUGCGUAGCCGACCUGAGAGGGUGAUCGGCCACACUGGGACUGAGACACGGCCCAGACUCCUACGGGAGGCAGCAGUAGGGAAUCUUCCGCAAUGGACGAAAGUCUGACGGAGCAACGCCGCGUGAGUGAUGAAGGUUUUCGGAUCGUAAAGCUCUGUUGCCAGGGAAGAACGCUUGGGAGAGUAACUGCUCUCAAGGUGACGGUACCUGAGAAGAAAGCCCCGGCUAACUACGUGCCAGCCGCCGCAGUAACAC
rnacentral:rRNA from 1 species